CCAAUAGCGUAUAUUAAAGUUGUUGCAGUUAAAAAGCUCGUAGUUGAAUUUUGGAUUCUUCCAAUUGGUCCAUCUUUUAGAUGAGUACUGGUUGUGUGGGGUCUAUCCGCCUGGUAAUACGUAAUGUCCUUUAUUGGAUGUUGCGGGUAGUCAGGACCUUUACCUUGAAAAAAUUAGAGUGUUUAAAGCAGGCUUAUGCCGGAAUACAUUAGCAUGGAAUAAUAGAAUAGUACGAAGUUGUUUUAUUUUGUUGGUUUCUAGGACAACCGUAAUGAUUAAUAGGGAUAGUUGGGGGCAUUAGUAUUCAAUUGUCAGAGGUGAAAUUCUUGGAUUUAUUGAAGACUAACUACUGCGAAAGCAUUUGCCAAGGAUGUUUUCAUUAAUCAAGAACGAAAGUUAGGGGAUCGAAGACGAUCAGAUACCGUCGUAGUCUUAACCAUAAACUAUGCCGACUAGGGAUCGGGCGAUGUUGUUUCCAUGACUCGCUCGGCACCUUAUG
rnacentral:rRNA from 1 species